GUGGGGAAUAUUGGACAAUGGGGGGAACCCUGAUCCAGCCAUGCCGCGUGUGUGAAGAAGGCCUUUUGGUUGUAAAGCACUUUAAGCGAGGAGGAGGCUACCGAGAUUAAUACUCUUGGAUAGUGGACGUUACUCGCAGAAUAAGCACCGGCUAACUCUGUGCCAGCAGCCGCGGUAAUACAGAGGGUGCAAGCGUUAAUCGGAUUUCCUGGGCGUAAAGCGCGCGUAGGUGGCCAAUUAAGUCAAAUGUGAAAUCCCCGAGCUUAACUUGGGAAUUGCAUUCGAUACUGGUUGGCUAGAGUAUGGGAGAGGAGGGUAGAAUUCCAGGUGUAGCGGUGAAAUGCGUAGAGAUCUGGAGGAAUACCGAUGGCGAAGGCAGCCAUCUGGCCUAAUACUGACACUGAGGUGCGAAAGCAUGGGGAGCAAACAGGAUUAGAAACCCUUGUAGUCC
rnacentral:rRNA from 1 species